UGGGGAAUUUUGGACAAUGGGCGAAAGCCUGAUCCAGCAAUGCCGCGUGUGUGAAGAAGGCCUUCGGGUUGUAAAGCACUUUUGUCCGGAAAGAAAUCCUUGGCUCUAAUACAGUCGGGGGAUGACGGUACCGGAAGAAUAAGCACCGGCUAACUACGUGCCAGCAGCCGCGGUAAUACGUAGGGUGCAAGCGUUAAUCGGAAUUACUGGGCGUAAAGCGUGCGCAGGCGGUUUGCUAAGACCGAUGUGAAAUCCCCGGGCUCAACCUGGGAACUGCAUUGGUGACUGGCAGGCUAGAGUAUGGCAGAGGGGGGUAGAAUUCCACGUGUAGCAGUGAAAUGCGUAGAGAUGUGGAGGAAUACCGAUGGCGAAGGCAGCCCCCUGGGCCAAAUACUGACGCUCAUGCACGAAAGCGUGGGGAGCAAACAGGAUUAGAUACCCUGGUAGUCCACGCCCUAAAACGAUGUCAACUAGUUGUUGGGGAUUCAUUUCCUUAGUAACGUAGCUAACGCGUGAAGUUGACCGCCUGGGGAGUACGGUCGCAAGAUUAAAACUCAAAGGAAUUGAC
rnacentral:rRNA from 1 species